UGCAAGUCGAACGGUGAUGAUGGGAGCUUGCUCCUGUCUGAUCAGUGGCGAACGGGUGAGUAACACGUGAGUAACCUGCCCCAGACUCUGGAAUAACCCCGGGAAACCGGAGCUAAUACCGGAUAUGACACCAAUCUGCAUGGAUAUGGUGUGGAAAGUUUUUCGGUCUGGGAUGGACUCGCGGCCUAUCAGCUUGUUGGUGAGGUAAUGGCUCACCAAGGCGACGACGGGUAGCCGGCCUGAGAGGGCGACCGGCCACACUGGGACUGAGACACGGCCCAGACUCCUACGGGAGGCAGCAGUGGGGAAUAUUGCACAAUGGGCGAAAGCCUGAUGCAGCGACGCCGCGUGAGGGAUGACGGCCUUCGGGUUGUAAACCUCUUUCAGCAGGGAAGAAGCGCAAGUGACGGUACCUGCAGAAGAAGCACCGGCUAACUACGUGCCAGCAGCCGCGGUAAUACGUAGGGUGCGAGCGUUGUCCGGAAUUAUUGGGCGUAAAGAGCUUGUAGGCGGUUUGUCGCGUCUGCCGUGAAAAUUCGAGGCUCAACCUCGAACUUGCGGUGGGUACGGGCAGACUAGAGUGUGGUAGGGGAGACUGGAAUUCCUGGUGUAGCGGUGAAAUGCGCAGAUAUCAGGAGGAACACCGAUGGCGAAGGCAGGUCUCUGGGCCACUACUGACGCUGAGAAGCGAAAGCAUGGGGAGCGAACAGGAUUAGAUACCCUGGUAGUCCAUGCCGUAAACGUUGGGAACUAGGUGUGGGUCUCAUUCCACGAGAUCCGUGCCGCAGCUAACGCAUUAAGUUCCCCGCCUGGGGAGUACGGCCGCAAGGCUAAAACUCAAAGGAAUUGACGGGGGCCCGCACAAGCGGCGGAGCAUGCGGAUUAAUUCGAUGCAACGCGAAGAACCUUACCAAGGCUUGACAUAUGCGAGAACGCGGCAGAGAUGUCGUUCUCUUUUGGACACUCGCAUACAGGUGGUGCAUGGUUGUCGUCAGCUUCGUGUCGUGAGAUGUUGGGUUAAGUCCCGCAACGAGCGCAACCCUCGUUCUAUGUUGCCAGCACGUGAUGGUGGGGACUCAUAGGAGACUGCCGGGGUCAACUCGGAGGAA
rnacentral:rRNA from 1 species